GACGAACGCUGGCGGCGUGCCUAAUACAUGCAAGUAGAACGCUGAAGGAGGAGCUUGCUCUUCUGGAUGAGUUGCGAACGGGUGAGUAACGCGUAGGUAACCUGCCUGGUAGCGGGGGAUAACUAUUGGAAACGAUAGCUAAUACCGCAUAACAGUAGAUGCUGCAUGACAUUUGCUUAAAAGGUGCAAUUGCAUCACUACCAGAUGGACCUGCGUUGUAUUAGCUAGUUGGUGGGGUAACGGCUCACCAAGGCGACGAUACAUAGCCGACCUGAGAGGGGGAUCGGCCACACUGGGACUGAGACACGGCCCAGACUCCUACGGGAGGCAGCAGUAGGGAAUCUUCGGCAAUGGACGGAAGUCUGACCGAGCAACGCCGCGUGAGUGAAGAAGGUUUUCGGAUCGUAAAGCUCUGUUGUAAGAGAAGAACGAGUGUGAGAGUGGAAAGUUCACACUGUGACGGUAUCUUACCAGAAAGGGACGGCUAACUACGUG
rnacentral:rRNA from 1 species